CGAACACAAGCCUCGCAUGAAGGUACCCCAGUACAAGUUUAAAAAAUGAAUGGAAGUAUAUAUGGAAGUAGUUUAGUGCCUAAAAUCUGGGGUUAAAUAUAGUUUCCUGAUCUUUCUUAUAUCUCUCAGAUAUACUUCAGAACAAACUUUCUUUAGAUUUUUUGGGGACUAUCUGUUGUUCCAUGCAGUGAAUCUGUUUCUAUAAGCUAAUAGCAGUAAGGCCAAAUUCAAUGUUUCAUCAAAUAUUCUUUUUAAUAUAUAUUUUGGAUACCUUAAGAGGUCUUAAAAUUCUAAAUCAAAUAGCUAAAUGAUCAUUGGUAUGGCCGUAUUAAAACAACUCCAUAUGCUAGCUUAAUAACCCUCCACCCUGUUAAUAAAACACAAUUUUCCACCACCAUGCUAGUGGCUGAUGCUACUUCCUGAUGUUCAGCCAAUCAGGUUGCAACAGUCGGUUGUGUACCCCUGGCUGAACGCUGUGUACAACAUCAGGAAGUAGCAUUAGCCAUUCGAAAAUGUUUUAUUAAGGCAGUACAUAUUUUCCCCAUAUUUUCUUUUUUGCCGGCUCGGCAUUAAAGCUAGUUAACGAGGAAACUGACGCCUUUGCAGCCUGAAAAAAUAGGUUUUAUGUACGAGCCAAUGGCCAUGGGACACAAGUGUAUAGCCGGCUGAAUACAUUCCUGUGGGACGCAGAUGACAAACGACGUACAAGGAAUAAUAACGCCAUCUGCCAGCCGGUUGGUCUACCUCUGGCCGGGGUAAACGAAGUGGAAACGUUCUGUAUUUAUUGCUCCAUUCGUUUGUGUUAGGAGAACAUGUGAACGGGAUCAUAUUUGGUUUAUAUUCAAACUUGGGCUGCCUAGACCUUUUCUAUCCAAAAUGAUUAACCGGAAUUAAUAAAUAAAAACAACAGCUGACAUAGGUUGUGAGUUAAAUGUUGUAUUAGGCCUCCAGUUGCAGAGGGCAGGCCUCCACAAUGCAAACUUGCAUAAAGCAAGCUAAGCCCUGUGAGUUCUAUUAUCCAAUCAUAUUGCUGUAUCUAUGUCUGUGUAGAGAAAAACCCUGUUAGUCUAGCUUUAAAAUAUAACUCAUAUGAACAGGUUGCUGCAGUUUGACAGGGUUUUCAUCCUCCCCAUGGUCAGGUUCUUUUUCUCCUGUUAUUAAAAACAUGUGACCUGAUUAGCAAAACGCUGCUCUCAUCAUAGCCCAUAUUAAAGCUUUUUUUUUUUUUACAACUGAUGAAUCAUGUCAUGUCAUACCAUAUAAGGUCCAGAGUUUUACCUCGUUAGGUUACCAGAUCAGGAAAAACUACGGGCCCCAGGAAAAAAAGAAUCACCCCACCACUCUGGGACCUCUGGGACCUCCGAGGCAUAGUAAUAACUGUCAGUAAAUGUGAGAGGGAGAGCCCUAUACAGAAACCAGCAGGUGGCAUCAGGUCCUGGUACAUGCAUUUCCCAUCAACUACUAUGGAUGAACCAUAUGAGGAAUACAGCGUUUUACAUUGUACAAAUAGCGUCA
rnacentral:lncRNA from 1 species